GUUUGAUCCUGGCUCAGGAUGAACGCUGGCGGCGUGCCUAACACAUGCAAGUCGAGCGAGGGUUUGCUCAGUAUUGAGUAUUCUAAGUCUAGAAUGUUCAAUUCUGAGCAAAACCAAGCGGCGGACGGGUGAGUAACGCGUGGGUAACCUGCCCUAUACACAUGGAUAACAUACUGAAAAGUUUACUAAUACAUGAUAAUAUAUAUUUGCGGCAUCGCAGAUAUAUCAAAGUGUUAGCGGUAUAGGAUGGACCCGCGUCUGAUUAGCUAGUUGGUGAGAUAACUGCCCACCAAGGCGACGAUCAGUAGCCGACCUGAGAGGGUGAUCGGCCACAUUGGAACUGAGACACGGUCCAAACUCCUACGGGAGGCAGCAGUGGGGAAUAUUGCACAAUGGGCGAAAGCCUGAUGCAGCAACGCCGCGUGAGCGAGGAAGGCCUUUGGGUCGUAAAGCUCUGUUGAGAGGGAAGAAAAAAAUGACGGUACCUCUUGAGGAAGCCCCGGCUAACUACGUGCCAGCAGCCGCGGUAAUACGUAGGGGGCGAGCGUUAUCCGGAAUUAUUGGGCGUAAAGAGUGCGUAGGUGGCACCUUAAGCGCAGGGUUUAAGGCAAUGGCUCAACCAUUGUUCGCCUUGCGAACUGGGGUGCUUGAGUGCAGGAGGGGAAAGUGGAAUUCCUAGUGUAGCGGUGAAAUGCGUAGAUAUUAGGAGGAACACCAGUGGCGAAGGCGACUUUCUGGACUGUUACUGACACUGAGGCACGAAAGCGUGGGGAGCAAACAGGAUUAGAUACCCUGGUAGUCCACGCCGUAAACG
rnacentral:rRNA from 1 species